GUGCUUGCUUCGGCAGCUCAUAUACUAAAAUAGGAACGAUACAGAGAGGAUUAGCAUGGCGCCCACACAAGGAUGACACACAGAUCUGUGACGUUUUGUCAAUGGCC
rnacentral:snRNA from 1 species